CAUAACUCGUGGUGGAAGCUGCCCGAUUUCAGCUAUGUGCUCAGAUGAUCGUUGUUUCAAAAUGCAUGACAGUGUUUAAAUGAGAGGAAAGGUAAUAAUAUUGCACAUAAUUAUCCUUGAGAAUCUGAAGUUUAUUGCGUUAAAAAAAAACACAACUAUUUAUUAGUCUGCAUAUAAAGAAAGUGACAUGAGUUUAAAAUAAUUUUUAAAUCAGUUUAAUUCAGCAGGUGCAGCCCUCUGUGGAAUGUGCAAGUCAUUUAGGCCAGUUGUGAACCAAUCUGGUUGGUUGUCUUCAAAGAGUUUUGCACCUGUGUAACUAUAAUGAGGUUGUAAUUGAUUUGAAUUAAAAUGCUGCAACUGUUGUGUUUAGACAAGGCCUUCAUCUAGCAUUUAAUUCAGUAACAGUAGAAACUUGACUUACUACUCACAGCUUUCUACUAGUGAUUUCCCUUCUUCGUUCCCAGUAAUUUAAGCACAUGUUGAUAUUCAUCCUUUGCUUCUCCUGUCUUAAUUAUCCUGCUUCAUUUCCCUUUUCCAUGACCUGCACAGUCGUAAAAAUCACUCUGGUUUGCACACAGAGGCCUGCCAGGAAUCAAAAUGCUUUUUGCUCUCCCUAACCAACCCUGGCAUAUUCUGCUGCUGCCAGCACCUUUUGUAUCAGUCUUGUCUUAGCUUCUUGUGGAGAAAUUGAGCUUUUCCUGCUGGUGGGUGGGCACUGGCUCUUCAAAGUCCUCAUCUUUUGUUAGAAAAACUGAGGAAAACCUGGGUCUUUCUUUGAAUAAAUAACUAGAAAAAUCAGAUGCAUGUCUACAUAUUGUACUCCAAGUGCUGUGCGACAUUUCAAACCUGUGGACCUGUGAAAUACCUUUCUUGAAGUGUGCCAUUUUGUCAUUUCUAGUGUUUGCAAGAACCUUAACCAAAAUUUAGUUGCUCUGAGCAAAUACUGCAAUCAGGUAUUUUUGCAAAACUUUCUUUAUAUUCCUUCUGGUAAGAAACAAUGUGCUGCCUUGGGGAUGAUCAGCAAAAAAUAAAUGAAAGGUAGAAAAAGGCCCUUUUCUUCAGGGACAUUGCUAAAUGGCCCAUCAAAUAGUUGAGAAGUGAUGCUGAGCAUGUAAAUACUGAGUUCCCCUAAGCUGUAGAUACUGGGUCUUAUUAAAAUGUUAUGUUGGGGUAGUAAAACUGCUAAAGGAACCAGCUGGAGGGUUAGCUAACAUCUGGGGAGGGGAGAAAGAGAGAACAAUUUUAAAUAUAUGGGCUCUUUAGUUGCAGCUAAGGUGAAUUUUGUUACUAGAUUAAAGUGAGGGGAGAGCAAAAUACAGGAAACAGGCGUUUUGCUGUUGGUUGUAGCACCAGCUGUGUGUUACACCAUCAGAGUAAGAUGUGUGGAAACAGAAAAUCGGGGACAGUGAGGAAAGAAAAUUAUUUUUAUGUUGUUGUUUAAAGCCUGUUGAAAUCCAUGGGAGCUUUUUGUCAGUUGGAUUUUGAUCACCCUUGAAUUGUAUUUUUCUUCAUUGCCACCCUCACCAGAACAUUCCACACAGUUCCUGUUAGCACUUGAAUGUAGGGGAAGGGGAAGAGGGUGUUGUUCACACACUGUGUGUCAACUAUUACCAUAGUUCAGCAAAGCUUAACUCUUCUGAUUUUUAGUUUGGAUGAUAAAUUUGAGCAAGUUAAGUUGGAAAGUUCUUCUACAGUAUCAAAGAUACUUCAGUGCAUUAACUAUUUCAGUAUGAAAAAAUCUGAAGAUCAUGUAGUAUAAUAUCAGCAAAUAAUUCCCCAUGCCUGAAAAUUUGGCUGUAAGCAUUGGGCAGUAUUCUUCCAUAAUUGGGUUUGUAGUCUGAAUGUGCAUAGCCUUGAGGAAAGAGAAGUUUACAAAGGAUAAUGCUUUUAUAUUGCUAGCAAGUCAGACUAAUUGUCUCCUUGCUGUUCUCUACACUACUUGUAGAUAUUCUUCUGGUCAACUGCCGCAUUAAUAAUUGCAUCAGAAAUGCAAAAGAAUUCAAGUCAUUUUUGUAGUGGAAUGAACUGUGCCAAAAUGCAUGAUGGACUACAAAACAGGAGCUUAUGGGUGCUUUGGGACAGUGUCAUUUCAACCCAUGUUCACACCCAGAUCUGAAGUGAGGACUCCGUCAUUGUCAAGAAGACAAUUCAGCAAUGACUACUUUGUGAUUUCAUAUUACUUGAGUUUUUCUGGCUGCUGCAGUGGUGUCAGAUGAUUGGAGGCUUCAGAAGUAAAAAGACCACUGUAUCAGAGGAGGCGUUAAAAGGCUUUUAACAGCUUCUAUCCACAUGUGAACUGAGACACUGUGUUCUGUGCUAUCUAAUCUGUAUGUCUUCGGUUCUUACUACAGGAAUCUAUUUUUUUUGUAAAUGACUUUAGCACUUGAAUCCCAGAUUUAUUAUUAUGGAGUUGAAUUUUUGGCAUGUUUUUGAUUUUCUUUUUUCUUUAUUGCAGAUGUAUCUGGAACAAUGGAUCUUAAUGGUUAAAAUCUUAUUCUGAGGAAACUUAUCCAGCAAUAAUUAAUCAUUACUGCCAAACUCUCAUGCAUAACUCCUUUAAAUAUUUGUUCCACUUUUAUAGGUCUUAGAACACUGCAGUCCCUAUUGAUACUUUAUGUCAGUCACUGAUAUGUGCUCCAAGACUUAAAAAACAAAGAGCUGCUGCAGAAAUGGGACCAGAGGAUAGACUCUUCUGCAUUGGCUUUAACAUGAAGGGGGGAGAUGAACAAACCUUCCAGCUGUUCAUGUAUGGAUGCCAGAAGCGUGGACUGUUAUGUAUGGUAUUGAAGAUACAUCCUCAGAGCUUUUUCACUUCCAUAACCUACUGUGUGCGACAGGCAUUGUCAGUGGAGGAAAGGGGGAUGUAGAUGCUGGGAUCCGAACUGAAGGGCAGCUUCCAUGCCUGCUCUCAUCCUCUGUCAUAUAGCAGACACACAAUGUCAUAAAGAGCUUAUCAACAUUAA